rnacentral:rRNA from 1 species
GAUGAACGCUGGCGGCGUGCCUAAUACAUGCAAGUCGAACGAACAGACGAGGCGCUUUCUUCUCGGAUGGUAGCGGCGGAAGUGUUAGUAACGCGCGUAUACCCUCGUGAUGGAACUCUGAUCACUUCGGGAGACCGUAGCGAAUACCAGCUAAUGUAUUAAACCGGAGGGUUCAAUAGUGCGAGCCGGUUUUGCUGUCAAUUUCAGAUUGGUCCGCGCCGGAUUAGCUAGUUGGUAAGGUAACGGCUUACCAAGGCAACGAUGCGUAGCCGAUCUGAGAGGACGAUCAGCCACACUGGAACUGAGACACGGUCCAGACUCCUACGGGAGGCAGCAGUAGGGAAUUUUGCGCAAUGGGCGAAAGCCUGACCCAGCAAUGCCGCGUGAAGGAUGAAGGUCUUCGGAUCGUAAACUGCUGUUAUACGGAAAGAAACGAUGUGUAAGAAAACACGCACCUCAUGACGGUACCGUAACAGUAAGCACCGGCUAACUACGUG